AUACGUAGGGGGCGAGCGUUGUCCGGAAUGAUUGGGCGUAAAGGGCGCGUAGGCGGCCCGGUAAGUCUGGAGUGAAAGUCCUGUUUUUAAGAUGGGAAUUGCUUUGGAUACUGUCGGGCUUGAGUGCAGGAGAGGUAAGUGGAAUUCCCAGUGUAGCGGUGAAAUGCGUAGAGAUUGGGAGGAACACCAGUGGCGAAGGCGACUUACUGGCCUGUAACUGACGCUGAGGCGCGAAAGUGUGGGGAGCAAACAGGAUUAGAGACCCUGGUAGUCCACACUGUAAACGAUGAAUGCUAGGUGUAGGGGGUAUCGACCCCUUCUGUGCCGCAGUCAACACAAUAAGCAUUCCGCCUGGGGAGUACGGCCGCAAGGUUGAAACUCAAAUGAAUUGGCGGGG
rnacentral:rRNA from 1 species